GACAAUGUAGUGUAGUGGUUUGAGUGUUGGACUACAACUCUGGAGACCAAGGUUUAAUUCCCAGCUUGGCCA